rnacentral:lncRNA from 1 species
AUGCCCUCGUGCACGUUAACAGUUUCUCCCUCCACCACAGUUUGCUAUCUUUCCAUCGCUGGCAUUCAGAUGGCCUCACCCAUCUCCCCGAGGGACAGCUGCUCCCAGACCCGCCCUGCAGCUGAGCGGCAAGACGAGCAGAAUUUUCCCCGUGAACAGGAGACAAGGAUGAGCAGCCACCAUAGAGUUGGUUUCUGUACUUCAACCUCUCAAUCAAGCCAAAAACACAGCUUCUUGGAGGGACCAGGCCAUCUCUGCAAGAUAUUCCUCAACCGUGACAUCAGCAACCAUCUUAGGCCAUUGGCAGGGAGUGAGCUGACUACUCCCCAGGAUCUCAGGUCCUUUUCCAGGAGUAAAUGGCCAUCGUGCACCCAUGGGAAGAGUGCUGCAUCCACGGAGGACCUGGGCCAACAGUGCUCUGAAAUGGGUUUCAUGAAAGCAUCUGUGACUCAUCCCUGUCCAAGAAUGUUUUCAUUAAGAUUCAGCAGAAGCGAUGUGCCAGGUCAGCAAAUACAACUGCAAAACUGGGGCCUGCCAGCCUGGCCAACACAGCAAGACCCCGUCUCUACUAAAAAUUAA